UACAGCGAAAGCGUUAAGUAUUCCACCUGGGGAGUACGCCGGCAACGGUGAAACUCAAAGGAAUUGACGGGGGCCCGCACAAGCGGAGGAACAUGUGGUUUAAUUCGAUGAUACGCGAGGAACCUUACCCGGGCUCAAACGACGGAUGGAUGUUUCUGAAAGGAGGCAGUCCUACGGGACAUCCGUCGAGGUGCUGCAUGGUUGUCGUCAGCUCGUGCCGUGAGGUGUCGGCUUAAGUGCCAUAACGAGCGCAACCCCCAUCGCCAGUUACCAGCAAGUAAAGUUGGGGACUCUGGCGAGACUGCCGGCGCAAGUUGUGAGGAAGGCGGGGAUGACGUCAAAUCAGCACGGCCCUUACGUCCGGGGCGACACACGUGUUACAAUGGCAGGUACAGAGAGAAGCGAUGCGGCGACGCAGAGCGGAACUUCAAAGCCUGUCUCAGUUCGGAUUGGAGUCUGCAACCCGACUCCAUGAAGCUGGAUUCGCUAGUAAUCGCGCAUCAGCCACGGCGCGGUGAAUACGUUCCCGGGCCUUGUACACACCGCCCGUCAAGCCAUGGAAGCCGGGAGUGCCUGAAGUGUGCAACCGCAAGGAGCGCCCUAAGGUAAAACCGGUGACUGGGGCUAAGUCGUAACAAGGUAACCGU
rnacentral:rRNA from 1 species